rnacentral:rRNA from 1 species
AAAUUGAAGAGUUUGAUCAUGGCUCAGAUUGAACGCUGGCGGCAGGCCUAACACAUGCAAGUCGAACGGUAACAGGAAGCAGCUUGCUGCUUUGCUGACGAGUGGCGGACGGGUGAGUAAUGUCUGGGAAACUGCCUGAUGGAGGGGGAUAACUACUGGAAACGGUGGCUAAUACCGCAUAACGUCGCAAGACCAAAGAGGGGGACCUUCGGGCCUCUUGCCAUCAGAUGUGCCCAGAUGGGAUUAGCUUGUUGGUGAGGUAACGGCUCACCAAGGCGACGAUCCCUAGCUGGUCUGAGAGGAU